rnacentral:rRNA from 1 species
ACGAACGCUGGCGGCGUGCCUAAUACAUGCAAGUUGAGCGCCGAAGGUUGGUACUUGUACCAACUGGAUGAGCAGCGAACGGGUGAGUAACGCAUGGGGAAUCUGCCUUUGAGCGGGGGACAACAUUUGGAAACGAAUGCUAAUACCGCAUAAAAACUUUAAACACAAGUUUUAAGUUUGAAAGAUGCAAUUGCAUCACUCAAAGAUGAUCCCGCGUUGUAUUAGCUAGUUGGUGAGGUAAAGGCUCACCAAGGCGAUGAUACAUAGCCGACCUGAGAGGGUGAUCGGCCACAUUGGGACUGAGACACGGCCCAAACUCCUACGGGAGGCAGCAGUAGGGAAUCUUCGGCAAUGGACGAAAGUCUGACCGAGCAACGCCGCGUGAGUGAAGAAGGUUUUCGGAUCGUAAAACUCUGUUGGUAGAGAAGAACGUUGGUGAGAGUGGAAAGCUCAUCAAGUGACGGUAACUACCCAGAAAGGGACGGCUAACUACGUG